rnacentral:rRNA from 1 species
AACGAACGCUGGCGGCGUGUUUAAGACAUGCAAGUCGCACGGUGUCAUUUUGGUAGCAAUACUUGGAUGGCAUAGUGGCGCACGGGUGAGUAACACGUGAAUUACAUGCCCUGUAGAGGGGGAUAGCCCAGGGAAACUUGGAUUAAUACCCCAUGGUCUCGCAAGAGUAAAAGGUGGCCGCAAGGCUGUCGCCGCAGGAUUGGUUCGCGCCCUAUCAGCUUGUUGGCGGGGUAACGGCCCACCAAGGCUACGACGGGUACCUGGUAUGAGAGGACGAUCAGGCGCACUGGAACGGAGACACGGUCCCGACACCUACGGGUGGCAGCAGUCGAGGAUAAUUCACAAUGGGGGCAACCCUGAUGGUGCAACGCCGCGUGGAGGAUGACGGUCUUCGGAUUGUAAACGCCUGUCAUCCGGGAGUAAGACCUGGGCAUUAACAGUGCACAGGGUUGAUAGUACCGGAAGAGGAAGGGACGGCUAACUUCGUGCCAGCCGCCGCAGUAA